rnacentral:rRNA from 1 species
CUACGGGUCGCAGCAGUGAGGAAUAUUGGUCAAUGGGCGAAAGCCUGAACCAGCCAUGCCGCGUGAAGGAUGACGGCCCUAUGGGUUGUAAACUUCUUUUAUACGGGAAGAAACACCUCUACGUGUAGAGGUUUGACGGUACCGUACGAAUAAGCAUCGGCUAACUCCGUGCCAGCAGCCGCGGUAAUACGGAGGAUGCAAGCGUUAUCCGGAUUUAUUGGGUUUAAAGGGUACGUAGGCGGAAACUUAAGUCAGUAGUGAAAUCCCGCAGCUUAACUGUGGAACUGUUAUUGAUACUGGGUUUCUUGAAUAUUGUUGAGGUAGGCGGAAUAAGUAAUGUAGCGGUGACAUGCUUAGAUAUUACUUAGAACACCGAUUGCGAAGGCAGCUUACUAAGCAAUUAUUGACGCUGAGGUACGAAAGCGUGGGGGGCGAACAGGAUUAGAUACCCGCGUAGUC